rnacentral:rRNA from 1 species
GACGAACGCUGGCGGCGUGCCUAAUACAUGCAAGUCGAACGAGUGGCGGACGGGUGAGUAACACGUGGGAACCUACCCAUCAGAGGGGGAUAACACUUGGAAACAGGUGCUAAUCCCGCAUACUAUCGUAUGAACCCAUUUGGGAUUAGCUAGUAGGUGGGGUAAAGGCUCACCUAGGCCACGCUCUCUAGCGGGUCUGAGAGGAUGAUCGGCCACACUGGGGCUGAGACACGGCCCAGACUCCUACGGGAGGCAGCAGUGGGGAAUAUUGCGCAAUGGGCGCAAGCCUGAUACAGCCAUGCCGCGUGUGUGAAGAAGGCCUUAGGGUUGUAAAGUGCUUUCAGCGGGGAGGCGUUACCCAAAGAAGAAGCAACGGCUAACUCCGUGCCAGCAGCCGCGGUAAUAC